rnacentral:rRNA from 1 species
UACGAAGGGGGCUAGCGUUGUUCGGAUUUACUGGGCGUAAAGCGCGUGUAGGCGGGUCGUUAAGUUGGGGGUGAAAUCCCGAGGCUCAACCUCGGAACUGCCUUCGAAACUGGCGAUCUUGAGUCCGGGAGAGGUGAGUGGAACUGCGAGUGUAGAGGUGAAAUUCGUAGAUAUUCGCAAGAACACCAGUGGCGAAGGCGGCUCACUGGCCCGGUACUGACGCUGAGGUGCGAAAGCGUGGGGAGCAAACAGGG